ensembl:lncRNA
CAAACCAAAGGUCAUUGCGGAGUGCAAAAAUCUUCCUCGAAGUGUGCACGUGGAUGACCUCCUUUUGUCUGCCCAACAGGAAUCUGAUGAUGAUGAUGGUGUAUGGGACUGUGAGGUUGCCGCCAUCUGCCUGUUGCUUCACCUGUUGCCUCCAACAUCCAAGGGCAAGAAGUCUGCAAAGAUCAGCGCAACGGAUGCUACUGUCCGCCUGGUGAAGUUCCUUAAGGUGGGGAGAAGCAUGGAGACCUUCCUGAAGGAAACUGGCCCUGCUCAGCCCUUUCUCCUGUGUGUUGGAGAACGAAAAAACAGCAUCCAGAAUUUCUACAUCAUCCUGGACCAAAAGGCCAUUCCCUCCAAGACGCAGACUGGAGUUGCUGCCUUUGACGAGCUCUUCAAGGCACAUUUUGCUUUUGCUGUGUCCUAUGAUGAGGCGCUAUCCAACUUCUACACC